rnacentral:rRNA from 1 species
UGCAGUCGAGCGAACGGACGAGAAGCUUGCUUCUCUGAUGUUAGCGGCGGACGGGUGAGUAACACGUGGAUAACCUACCUAUAAGACUGGGAUAACUUCGGGAAACCGGAGCUAAUACCGGAUAAUAUUUUGAACCGCAUGGUUCAAAAGUGAAAGACGGUCUUGCUGUCACUUAUAGAUUUCGACGCGCUGCAUUAGCUAGUUGGUAAGGUAACGGCUUACCAAGGCAACGAUGCAUAGCCGACCUGAGAGGGUGAUCGGCCACACUGGAACUGAGACACGGUCCAGACUCCUACGGGAGGCAGCAGUAGGGAAUCUUCCGCAAUGGGCGAAAGCCUGACGGAGCAACGCCGCGUGAGUGAUGAAGGUCUUCGGAUCGUAAAACUCUGUUAUUAGGGAAGAACAUAUGUGUAAGUAACUGUGCACAUCUUGACGGUACCUAAUCAGAAAGCCACGGCUAACUACGUGCCAGCAGCCGCGGUAAUACGUAGGUGGCAAGCGUUAUCCGGAAUUAUUGGGCGUAAAGCGCGCGUAGGCGGUUUUUAAGUCUGAUGUGAAAGCCCACGGCUCAACCCGUGGAGGGUCAUUGGAAACUGGAAAACUUGAGUGCAGAAGAGGAAAGUGGAAUUCCAUGUGUAGCGGUGAAAUGCGCAGAGAUAUGGAGGAACACCAGUGGCGAAGGCGACUUUCUGGUCUGUAACUGACGCUGAUGUGCGAAAGCGUGGGGAUCAAACAGGAUUAGAUACCCUGGUAGUCCACGCCGUAAACGAUGAGUGCUAAGUGUUAGGGGGUUUCCGCCCCUUAGUGCUGCAGCUAACGCAUUAAGCACUCCGCCUGGGGAGUACGACCGCAAGGUUGAAACUCAAAGGAAUUGACGGGGACCCGCACAAGCGGUGGAGCAUGUGGUUUAAUUCGAAGCAACGCGAAGAACCUUACCAAAUCUUGACAUCCUUUGACAACUCUAGAGAUGAAGCCUUCCCCUUCGGGGGACAAAGUGACAGGUGGUGCAUGGUUGUCGUCAGCUCGUGUCGUGAGAUGUUGGGUUAAGU